rnacentral:piRNA from 2 species
UAGCUGAUUCCUGGUUAUCAAUGUUGAUGU